CUAUUGCAACCAAGCGUGGCCUCUAUAUAGAUUAGGUGACGAUUCCGAAUGGCCAGAAAAUGGAACGUUCCACCCGAAUGUUCUUCGGGACCUCCACUAUUUCUGUCAUCGCAAUGGCAAAAGUUUGGAGACCAAAACUAAAAAGGUAACUGGGCUAUGAGGACAGCCAAUAUUUUAGCCCUGGCCCCUCAAGGUCAACAAAGAUCCAAGACAUAAGGGAACCUUCUCUACAGGAUCCUACCUCUUUGGAGCAGUUGGAGGUCUUUACCAAUCAGACAGUCGGUGAACUCAUUAUGGCCAGUUAUCAACCUUUUGCCACAGGAGACCACGCCAUCAUCACGUAGGACCCAGACCUGUUACCCUUUAUCACUGCCUCUGUGCUCACAGGAAGCAGCUACAAUAAAGAGACCUCUGCCCUUACUCCAUAAUAAUAUCAAGAGUCUGGAAUGAUAGAGUUCUCUGCUAGGUAAAAUGGCCCUGAGAACCCUGCAUCCUAAAAUGGCCCCUACCUACAGGAAACAAGUCACCUCCUUUUUUCCACCUCGCCCCCAGCCGUAGCCAAUCAUCUGCCACUACCACACUCCCCCAGCCCUUAUAAACCUCACCCAGCCAACCCCUGGUUGCUAUUCUCGCCAUUGUUCGAGACAGCCUGGCAGCUCUGCCCCUUAAUAAAAGCUUUAGCUUGGGUGUUCACAUUUUGGCUCAUUUUAUUUCUCUCAAUGAUAACCAGAAAAAGUGAUACCUUGGUUGUCGAAUGGUUCUAAAAAUUGAACUUUCCACUACUUGAAAAGCAAAGUUAAAAAAAAAAUCUGUUUGGUUUUGGUAACUUUGCUCCAUAGUCAAACCGAAAAUCCAAUAGGCUGAGAGUGAGGCAUGUGUCCUAUCUCCCUGUGAACACAAAGGGUGUCAUUUCGGUUUAAGCACCCCUCUUGCCCAGACUACAGGCA
rnacentral:lncRNA from 1 species